CCCUUCAGAGGGGGACAACAGUUGGAAACGACUGCUAAUACCGCAUACGAUCCAAUCUCGGCAUCGAGACUGGAUGAAAGGUGGCCUCUAUUUAUGAGCUAUCACUGAAGGAGGGGAUUGCGUCUGAUUAGCUAGUUGGAGGGGUAACGGCCCACCAAGGCGAUGAUCAGUAGCCGGUCUGAGAGGAUGAACGGCCACAUUGGGACUGAGACACGGCCCAG
rnacentral:rRNA from 1 species